rnacentral:rRNA from 1 species
GCAUGGUUCGAAAUUGAAAGGCGGCUUCGGCUGUCACUUAUGGAUGGACCCGCGUCGCAUUAGCUAGUUGGUGAGGUAACGGCUCACCAAGGCAACGAUGCGUAGCCGACCUGAGAGGGUGAUCGGCCACACUGGGACUGAGACACGGCCCAGACUCCUACGGGAGGCAGCAGUAGGGAAUCUUCCGCAAUGGACGAAAGUCUGACGGAGCAACGCCGCGUGAGUGAUGAAGGCUUUCGGGUCGUAAAACUCUGUUGUUAGGGAAGAACAAGUGCUAGUUGAAUAAGCUGGCACCUUGACGGUACCUAACCAGAAAGCCACGGCUAACUACGUGCCAGCAGCCGCGGUAAUACGUAGGUGGCAAGCGUUAUCCGGAAUUAUUGGGCGUAAAGCGCGCGCAGGUGGUUUCUUAAGUCUGAUGUGAAAGCCCACGGCUCAACCGU